rnacentral:rRNA from 1 species
AACGAACGCUGGCGGCAUGCCUAACACAUGCAAGUCGAACGAGACCUUCGGGUCUAGUGGCGCACGGGUGCGUAACGCGUGGGAAUCUGCCCUCAGGUUCGGGAUAACUCAGGGAAACUUGAGCUAAUACCGGAUGAUGUCUUCGGACCAAAGAUUUAUCGCCUAAGGAUGAGCCCGCGUCGGAUUAGCUUGUUGGUGAGGUAAAAGCUUACCAAGGCGACGAUCCGUAGCUGGUCUGAGAGGAUGAUCAGCCACACUGGGACUGAGACACGGCCCAGACUCCUACGGGAGGCAGCAGUGGGGAAUAUUGGACAAUGGGCGCAAGCCUGGAUCCAGCAAUGCCGCGUGAGUGAUGAAGGCCUUAGGGUUGUAAAGCUCUUUUACCCGGGAUGAUAAUGACAGUACCGGGAGAAUAAGCUCCGGCUAACUCCGUGCCAGCAGCCGCGGUAAUACGGAGGGAGCUAGCGUUGUUCGGAAUUACUGGCGUAAAGCGA